rnacentral:rRNA from 1 species
UGCAUAUCCAAUAAGCGGAGGAAAAGAAACCAACAGGGAUUGCCUUAGUAGCGGCGAGUGAAGCGGCAAUAGCUCAAAUUUGAAAUCUGGCACCUUCGGUGUCCGAGUUGUAAUUUGAAGAAGGUAUCUUUGGUUUUGGCUCUUGUCUAUGUUCCUUGGAACAGGACGUCACAGAGGGUGAGAAUCCCGUGCGAUGAGAUGCCCAAUUCCAUGUAAAGUUCCUUCGACGAGUCGAGUUGUUUGGGAAUGCAGCUCUAAGUGGGUGGUAAAUUCCAUCUAAAGCUAAAUAUUGGCGAGAGACCGAUAGCGAACAAGUACUGUGAAGGAAAGAUGAAAAGAACUUUGAAAAGAGAGUGAAAAAGUACGUGAAAUUGUUGAAAGGGAAGGGCUUGAGGUCAGACUUGGUUUUACCAGGCCAGCAUCAGUUUGGAUGGCAGGAUAAUAGCUUAGGAAUGUGGCACUGCUUCGGUAGUGUGUUAUAGCCUGGGUUGAUACUGCCUGUCUAGACUGAGGACUGCGUCUUUGACUAGGAUGCUGGCAUAAUGACCUUAAGCCGCCCGUCUUGAAA